UUAAAGUACAAUUAAAAGGACAAGGGAGUUUGGGAUCUAUUCAAGAGGGUGACUAUGAUGGACCAUCCAUUUUCAGUUGGAUAAGGAAGUUGAGGACAGCAAGUCACAGUCACAGUCUGAGCCAAUUCUCAGUGGCCAGGGCUAUAGAAGGACACAGGCCAUAAGAAGAUAAGGAGGAACCUUGCACUGCUGGCCUCUGACAGAUGCAAGCUUCACAAGGCCAGGAAUCUUACCUGUCCAAUUCACCACAGCAGCCUCAACCUGGCAGACAGUUCAGCAUACAGCUAAAUAAUGGCUCCCAAAGAUAUGUCUACAUCCUAAUCUCCAGAAUCUGUGAAUGUUACUUUAUGUGGCAAGUACGUGGCAGAUGUAAUUAAGUCAAGGAUCUUUGGAUGGUUAUCCUGAAUUAUCUGGGUGGGCCCUAAAUACAAUCACAAGUGUCCUUAUAGGAGAGAGGCUGAAGGAGAUUUGGUACCAACAGAAGAGGAGGAGGAAAUUGUGAUCAUGCAGAAACUGGAGUGAUGGAGUCACAAGCCAAGGAAUGCCAGCAGCCACCAGAAGCCGAAAGAGGCCCUGCCAACACCUUGAUUUAGGCCUAAAGAAACUGAGUUUAGAUUUCUGGACCCCAGAACUGUGAAAGAAUAAAUUUCUGUUGUGUUA